rnacentral:rRNA from 1 species
UGGGGAAUAUUGCACAAUGGGCGCAAGCCUGAUGCAGCCAUGCCGCGUGUAUGAAGAAGGCCUUCGGGUUGUAAAGUACUUUCAGCGGGGAGGAAGGGAGUAAAGUUAAUACCUUUGCUCAUUGACGUUACCCGCAGAAGAAGCACCGGCUAACUCCGUGCCAGCAGCCGCGGUAAUACGGAGGGUGCAAGCGUUAAUCGGAAUUACUGGGCGUAAAGCGCACGCAGGCGGUUUGUUAAGUAAGAUGUGAAAUCCCCGGGCUCAACCUGGGAACUGCAUCUGAUACUGGCAAGCUUGAGUCUCGUAGAGGGGGGUAGAAUUCCAGGUGUAGCGGUGAAAUGCGUAGAGAUCUGGAGGAAUACCGGUGGCGAAGGCGGCCCCCUGGACGAAGACUGACGCUCAGGUGCGAAAGCGUGGGGAGCAAACAGG